GAUGAAGAACGUAGCGAAAUGCGAUACGUAAUGUGAAUUGCAAAUUCAGUGAAUCAUCGAGUCUUUGAACGCACAUUGCGCCCCCUGGUAUUCCGGGGGGCAUGCCUGUCCGAGCGUCAUUGCUGCCCUCAAGCACGGCUUGUGUGUUGGGCCCCGUCCUCCGAUCCCGGGGGACGGGCCCGAAAGGCAGCGGCGGCACCGCGUCCGGUCCUCGAGCGUAUGGGGCUUUGUCACCCGCUCUGUAGGCCCGGCCGGCGCUUGCCGAUCAACCCAAAUUUUUUAUCCAGGUUGACCUCGGAUCAGGUAGGGAUACCCGCUGAACUUAAGCAUAUCAAUAAGGAGGA
rnacentral:misc_RNA from 1 species